rnacentral:rRNA from 1 species
UACGUAGGGUGCAAGCGUUGUCCGGAAUUAUUGGGCGUAAAGAGUUCGUAGGCGGUUUGUCGCGUCCGUUGUGAAAGCUUGGGGCUCAACCCCAGGUCUGCAGUGGAUACGGGCAGGCUAGAGUCAGGUAGGGGAGCGUGGAAUUCCUGGUGUAGCGGUGAAAUGCGCAGAUAUCAGGAGGAACACCAGCGGCGAAGGCGGCGCUCUGGGCCGGAACUGACGCUGAGGAGCGAAAGCGUGGGGAGCGAACAGG